GUACUGGUGUAAACCUUCCAUAGUCAUGGAGCUGAAAUAAAUAAAUACAUUUUUACAAGCAAAGUAAAUGCAGUUUGAAGUAAAGAUUAUAGGUCUUUCUGUAUUUUACUAAGGCAUCACCAAACUGAUAACUUCUUCAGUUUUUUUCUUUAAAAAUGGGAAGAGCAUGAAAAACAACUAUCUAUUUAUACUGCCAAGUGCCCUUUCGAGCAUGGUAGGCAGACAUGGACAUUAUCGAGUCGGUUUCCUGGGAAGAACCAGUACUUGGUGUCCAUGGAGGAGAUAAUUAGAAUGCUUCCCAAGUAAGGAGUGAACCCACUAACACCCGAUCGCUAGGCGGAUAUCUCAUCCACUACAACACCGCGACCUUGAACUACAAAUAUUUUUUUAUGUCCCCCACUAUAGAAGUGGGGGACAUAUUGUUUUUGCCCUGUCUGUUGGUUGGUCUGUUGGUUGGUUGGUUUGCGCCAACUUAAACAUUUUGCAAUAACUUUUGCUAUAUUGAAUAUAGCAACUUGAUAUUUGGCAUGCAUGAGUAUCUCAUGGAGCUGCACAUUUUGAGUGGUGAAAGGUCAGAGGUCAAAUAUAUGUGGCCUAAAUUGCUCAUUUUAUGAAUACUUUUGCAAUAUUGAAGAUAGCAACUCGAUAUUUGGCAUGCAUGUGUAUCUCAUGGAGCUGCACAUUUUGAGUGGUGAAAGGUCAAAGUCAAGGUCAUCCUUCAAGGUCAGAGGUAAAACAUAUUUGUCCCAAAUCGCUUAUUUUAUUAAUACUUUUGAAAUAUUGAAGAUAGCAACUUGAUAUUUGGCAUGCAUGUGUAUCUCAUGGAGCUGCACAAUUUGAGUGGUGAAAGGUCAAGGUCAUCCUUCAAGGUCAAGGUCAUCCUUAAAGGUCAAAUAUAUGGGUCAAAAUUGCUCAUGUAAUGUCACUUCUGCAAUAUUGAAGCUAGCAAUUUUAUAUUUGAAAUGCAUGUGUAUCUCAUGGAGCUGCACAUUUUGAGUGGUGAAGGGUCAAGGUCAUCCUUCAAGGUCAAACAUUAUUUAGGGGGACAUUGUGUUUCACAAACGCAUCUUGUUUCAAAUUAUCUUUAUUCAACAACAUUUUGUAUAACGAUAAAACAACUCACUCUUAGAGAUACGUCUAGUAGUGAUGCACUGCUUUCAACCAACAAACCAUCUGCCUCGUUCUCGAAACUCAAGUCUGGUGAACGGUUAUCUGACAUUUCCUCAGUUUCUGGUGUGGAAUUCGUCUCAUCUGCUUCAGGGCCAUUUUCCAGAGUCUGUAAGGUAAACAAAUAAAAUUAAAUCAGCACAUCAAAGACCUAGAAAUACACAUACUUUUUCAAACUAACAUGAAAGAAUGAUGUUCAGAUACGUAAUAUUUAUGCUUCUGUAUCAUGUUGUAAACACCGUCAGAUUCUAUACCGAUAGAGUAACUGACCCAUGUUCAUUCUUGAAACCUCGUAUAGCCUAGUGGCAACAUAUCCGCUUCAAAAUAUCAGAUACCAUUGGUUCGAUCCUCGGCUGUGAGCUACAUAAAAUAAAUCAUGAACUGUGCCAUGGGUAUGUCUGCCAUUAUCCCAUGCUUGAUUGUACCACAAGGAAUCACUGAUUUGAAUAGUAAGCUCGAUUUAAUAAUCCAUCGGAAUCGUUUUAAGGUGAUAAUCUGAUUACACGCAGUGCGCAAUCUGAUUAUGUGAUGACUUAAAUUAGUAUAAGUAUUAA